CUGACACAGGGAGGUAGUGACAAGAAAUAACGAUACAGGGCUACAUCUAGUCUUGUAAUUGGAAUGAGUACAAUUUACAUCUCUUAACGAUGAUCAAUUGGAGGGCAAGUCUGGUGCCAGCAGCCGCGGUAAUUCCAGCUCCAAUAGCGUAUAUUAAAGUUGUUGCAGUUAGAACGCUCGUAGUCGGAUUUCGGGGCAGUCCGACCGGUCUGCCGAUGGGUAUGCACUGGCCGGAGUGUCCUUUUUGCCGGAGACCGUGCCUACUCUUAACUGAGCGGGGGCGGGAGACGGCACUUUUACUUUGAAAAAUCAGAGUGUUUCAAGCAGGCAGCUCGCUCUUGCAUGGAUUAGCAUGGGAUAAUGAAAUAGGACUUUGGUGCUAUUUUGUUGGUUUCGAACACCGAAGUAAUGAUGAGAAGGGACAGUCAGGGGCACUCGUAUUCCGCAGAGAGAGGUGAAAUUCUCAGACCCGCGGAAGACGAACCACUGCGAAA
rnacentral:rRNA from 1 species